CCUACGGGUGGCAGCAGUGAGGAAUAUUGGACAAUGGGGGAAACCCUGAUGCAGCAACGUCGCGUGAGUGAUGAAGUCCUUCGGUGUGUUAAGCUUCAUUUGCAGGGGAGAAGAUGACGGUACGUGACCGAGAAGGGCCGGUUAACUACGUGCCAGCAGCCGCGGUAACACGUAGGGGGCAAGCGUUAUCCGGAGUUACUGGGUGUAAAGGGAGCGCAGUCGGGGGUGUAAGUCCGGCGUGAAAGCGCGGGGCCCAACCCCAGAACUGCUGUGGAAACUGUGUGGCUUGAGUGCUGGAGAAGGAGGCGGAAUUCGUAGUGUAGCGGUGAAAUGCAUAGAUAUCACGAAGAACCCCGGUGGCGAAGGCAGCAUACUGGACCGUAACUGACGCUGAGGCUCGAAAGCGUGGGGAUCAAACAGGAUUAGAUACCCCUGUAGUC
rnacentral:rRNA from 1 species